AAUUAGCUCAGUUGGUAGAGCACUCGGCUGUUAACCGAUAGGUCGUAGGUUCGAGUCCUACAUUA
rnacentral:tRNA from 1 species